CCUACGGGUGGCUGCAGUGAGGAAUAUUGGUCAAUGGGCGCGAGCCUGAACCAGCCAAGUAGCGUGAAGGAUGACUGCCCUACGGGUUGUAAACUUCUUUUAUAAAGGAAUAAAGUGAGGCACGUGGGCCGUGUUGUAUGUACUUUAUGAAUAAGGAUCGGCUAACUCCGUGCCAGCAGCCGCGGUAAUACGGAGGAUCCGAGCGUUAUCCGGAUUUAUUGGGGUUAAAGGGAGCGUAGAUGGGUUGUUAAGUAAGUUGUGAAAGUUUGCGGCUCCACCGUAAACUUGCAAUUGAUACUGGCAGUCUUGAGUACAGUUGCGGUAGGCGGAAUUCGUGGUGUAGCGGUGCACUGCUUAGAUAUCACG
rnacentral:rRNA from 1 species